rnacentral:rRNA from 1 species
UAAGGAAUAUUGGUCAAUGGGCGGAAGCCUGAACCAGCCAUGCCGCGUGCAGGAAGACGGCCCUACGGGUUGUAAACUGCUUUUAUACCGGAAUAAACCUUGAUACGUGUAUCGAGCUGAAUGUACGGUAAGAAUAAGGAUCGGCUAACUCCGUGCCAGCAGCCGCGGUAAUACGGAGGAUCCAAGCGUUAUCCGGAUUUAUUGGGUUUAAAGGGUGCGUAGGUGGUUCUUUAAGUCAGGGGUGAAAGACGGUAGCUUAACUAUCGCAGUGCCUUUGAUACUGAAGAACUUGAAUACACUAGAGGUAGGCGGAAUGUGACAAGUAGCGGUGAAAUGCAUAGAUAUGUCACAGAACACCAAUUGCGAAGGCAGCUUACUAUGGUGUCAUUGACACUGAGGCACGAAAGCGUGGGGAUCAAACAGGAUUAGAUACCCCCGUAGUCC